GGCUUUAUAUUCAAUUAUGAUUUCGGAUUGCAAAUCUGAAGGUGGGUUAUCCCCUAAGGCUU
rnacentral:tRNA from 1 species